GACGAACGCUGGCGGCGUGCUUAACACAUGCAAGUCGAACGGAAAGGCCCUGCUUUUGUGGGGUGCUCGAGUGGCGAACGGGUGAGUAACACGUGAGUAACCUGCACUUGACUUUGGGGUAAAUUCAGGAAACUGGGGCUAAUACCGGAGAGGAGAUCCUGCUGCAUGGGGGGGGUUGGAAAGUGUCGGCGGUUGUGGCUGGAAUCGCGGCUUAUCAGCUUGUUGGUGGGGUAGUGGCUUACCAAGGCUUUGACGGGUAGCCGGCCUGAGAGGGUGACCGGCCACAUUGGGACUGAGAUACGGCCCAGACUCCUACGGGAGGCAGCAGUGGGGAAUAUUGCACAAUGGGCGGAAGCCUGAUGCAGCAACGCCGCGUGCGGGAUGACGGCCUUCGGGUUGUAAACCGCUUUCGCCUGUGACGAAGCGUGAGUGACGGUAAUGGGUAAAGAAGCACCGGCUAACUACGUG
rnacentral:rRNA from 1 species